GCACUCACCUAUCCACUAAACAGCAACUUCAAUGUUGAAAGAUUUUAUUAGUUUUUAAUACUAAUAAAAUCUUUCAACAUUGAAGUUGCUGUUUAGUGGAUAGGUGAGUGC